CAGAAGCCUCGCUCCCGGGAGGUUCCCACUUUCUCCUCCAAAGCAGUUUUGCGGGGGGAGGGGGAGGGGGCGGGGGGGCGCGUCUGAGGUUCUGUCUAAUCCCCCGCGUCCGGCGCGUGCCCGCAGACCCUCUGCACGCCCCUGCCCUGCCCUGCCCUGCCCUGCCCUGCGGGCCUCGGGCAUCAGACCCCCCAGAGCGCGCCCCGUAAGCUCCGCGCACAAAUCCCCUCGGAAACAUUAAUCACAACCAGCAGUGAAUGCAAAAUGUGUGCCCGUGCCGGGUCUGCUGUUUAAUCCCGACUGUAAUUCUGGAAAGCGGCAUCGGAAAGGGGUUUUAUUAAUCCCCUCCACGAACAAAUACAAUCUCUGACCUACUAGACUUGUCUUCCUGAAAUUUCACGAAGAGUCGGUCUCACUAGAGGAAUGCCCAAAGGUCAGAAAGCUGUGAGAAACUUGAGGGGCAUCGAUGCAGUGAUGUGGUGCGCUUGAGCCAAAAGGCGCACGGGCCGGGGAGUGGAAUCCCUGGUCGGGGGUCCUGAAAUUCUCCAGGACGAGGAGGUGGGUGAGGGCCGGUGAGGGCGAGUCAGCUGAGUGGCAGGCACCUGAGGAGGCUGGGAGAGGGAACCCAGUUCUCCUCCUUCCACAGGCUUGCACCCCAAGUGACCUAAUCUGGCGGCUGCCUCCUCACGAAGGCGCUAGGGCUGGCGGACGGGCUAGCAGAGGAAAUCGAAAAAGAUGGUGAAGGGUCGGGCCAAUAAAUUAGCCUCAGGGAUGGAGAUGCAGACAGACGGAUGGGGUUGUAUGGAUACAGAUACACAAGGAAAACCAAAGCUAUUCAGUCUCCUCAUUUGUCCAGCAGCCUCACAGUGGUGCCCUUUCUCUGCUGCUGCUUUCCCUGCUUCGGGAGCAGCAGUUAUGGUAGAAGCAGAUGGCUACUGAUUGGGGGAGCUUUGUGGCUCUAAUACUGAAUACUUUAUGGAAAAGGACUUUAUCAUGCUUCGCUGGGCAGAGGAACAAGGGGGUGAGAUUUAUGGCCAGGAAAAAUAAAUCUUUUCCAAGUUGUGGCUCCUUCUCACCAGUUGUCUCUUUUGCUGGUGG
rnacentral:lncRNA from 1 species